rnacentral:misc_RNA from 1 species
AACGCACAUUGCGCCCGUCAGUAUUCUGGCGGGCAUGCCUGUUCGAGCGUCAUUUCAACCCUUAAGCCCUCGUUGCUUAGCGUUGGGAGCCUACCCGGGACUCUCUGGGUAGCUCCCCAAAGUCAGUGGCGGAGUCGGUUUCACGCUCUAGACGUAGUAGUUUUAUUCUCGUCUGCAGCUGGGCCGGCGUCCUGCCGUAAAACACCCCAAUUCUUAUAGGUUGACCUCGGAUCAGGUAGGAAUACCCGCUGAACUUAA